GAUGAACGCUGGCGGCGUGCCUAAUACAUGCAAGUCGAGCGAACAGACGAGGAGCUUGCUCCUCUGACGUUAGCGGCGGACGGGUCAUUAACACGGGGAUAACCUACCUAUAAGACUGGGAUAACUUCGGGAAACCGUAUCUAAUACCGGAUAAUAUAUUGAACCUCAUUGUUCAAUAGUUAAAUACGGUUUUUCUUUCACUUAUAGAUUGAUCCGCGCCGCAUUAAUUAGUUGGUAAGGUAACGGCUUACCCAGGCAAGGAUGGGUAGCCGCCCUGAGAGGGUGAUCGGACACACGGGCACAGAGAAAGGGUACCCACUCUUACGGGAGGAAGCAGCACGGAAUCCUACGGAAUGGGGGAAAGGCUGACGGAGGAAAGCGGGCUGAGUGCUGAAGGUGCUAGGCCCGUAAAGUUAUGAUAUCAGGGAAGAACAAAUGUGCAAGUAACCAGGAACGUAUUGACGGUACCUAAUGAGAAAGCCACGGCUAACUACGUG
rnacentral:rRNA from 1 species